AGGAGGAACAACCACAGUGGCGGCGGCCAGCUCUGGAAACCUGGAUUCAGCUCCCACAGUAAUGAAUGAGCUCUUGGUCUGCAGGGCCUGGAGGCUCCGGGGCGGG
rnacentral:pre_miRNA from 1 species